UUUCCCCGCAAGCACACAAUACCUUGUUGUUGAUCUCUUGUUACUCAAUGAACCAGUCCAGUUAGCAGCAUCACAGAAUGUUUCAAUACUUGUAUUGUUGAAUCCUCAACGCCGGCCUGACAGAGCAUUGAGAGAAUGUAAAUCAUGGUAACUCAGCUGAACAUAAAGGUUAGACCUUUGUUUACUGCGCACAAGGAGUUCCCCUCACUUUGAGAGGUUGCUCCCAUACUGCUGCUGCUGAGACUCGAUCUCUGAUUUUUCUUCCCAAACUUCAUCAUUGUGAUCAACUGAAUUGCCCAUGCAGGCAACAAUUGAAAUAUUGUUGCUUCUCAUUGAUGCUAGCCUAUCCAAACAACCUCAGAAGUAAGCUUAUUUUUAUGAGAGAAUGUUGUAACAUAAUCCACAACAUACAUUUGAGCAUAUCUCUUUGCUGCCAAUCAUGCCUUUAAUCGAGCUGUUUGUGUGUGUUGUGUGGUAAAUAAAUGCUACAAAGAUACAAGCAAA